rnacentral:pre_miRNA from 1 species
UUUGUACUCCCUCCGUCCCAAAAUUCUUGUCUUAAGUUUGUCUAAAUACGGAUGUAUCUAGUUACAUUUUAGUGUUAGAUACAUCUGUAUCUAAACAAAUGUAAGACAAGAAUUUUGGGACGGAGGGAAUACUAC